CUUACUCUGUUCCUCUUCCUUCUUUUCCUCCAAGUAGUACUUCAGAAUGUCAUUCAGCUGCUGCUCACACUGGCUUACAUGUUGCAAUCCGUUUUCUUGCCCUGAAAGCAAUAUUCAAUAGGAUAAUUACGUAUCACUUCACAGCAUCCAUCACGUAGUUGCUGUGUGGCAAUGAGAACAUCUAUUUCCCAAAACGUAUCAAAUGGCUAUCAUAUGUCUACAUCAUUGUUCUUCACCUACUUGGUUGCCAACUAAGUAGACAGAAUAAAAUUAGUAUUUUGGCACUUCUCUUGUAGUGAAUUCUUAUCUGGUGUUUCAGAGACUAAAAACUCCUUCUGCAGUAUCUGCUAAGGUGGGGCCUCCCUGUGCAAAGAGCAGACGUGUGCCUGCAAAGACACCCCAUGGGUGCUGGGGAGUUGGAUUCAGACAGCUUAUUGAAGACAUUUUAGAAACUGGGACUUUCUCUCGCUUCUCUAAUUCAAUGAGAGUUGAUAAGGCAAAAGUUAGGAUGAAAUGUACUCAUGCUUUGAGAUAUUAAAUGAUUUUCCAGUUGUCUUCCCCUUGUUUAGCAUAUACUACUCAGCAAUAAAGCUACAUUGCUUUACAAUGUGUUCCUGCCUAGGUCUGCUGUGUAAAAACCAAAUUGGUAAAGCACUAGAAAUGCAGUAGCCAUCUCCAGAUCUCCUUGCCAGAGUACUUUGUCCAUCUAUCUGAUGCCAUCAAGAGAAGAAAAAAGAAGUCCCAUCACUGGAUAACAAAAAUACUGAGCAUAUAAAAGCAGUUUGCUGAUAGAACUGCAAACAAGCAACUUUUGUGCUUGUGAUCUACUUGCAAUAAACAAUGGGAGUAUAUAUAUAUAUAUAUAUAAUGGGAGUAUAUAUAGGAAAUAUACUGUAUUUUGUGUAGUGUGCUGUAUGGGAACUGUUGAGUCAGGGCCUGAACCACUGAUUGAUCACCUGAUGAAAGGACUGAGUCAGCCCUGGGAGCACAGGUGAAGGCAAUUCAGCUGUGUGAUCAGAAAGCGGUGGAGCCUGGCUGCACCUCUCUUAGACCCCAUUUAAGGGCUGACUGGCAGUGGGGAAGGAUCUCUUUCUGGAGAUCUCCUUUGUGGAGUCUGUCUUGCAAACCUAGAUGUUUGGCUACAGAACAACGAUCUCCUUCUCGGCUCCUUGGAAUGCAUCUACAGUGGACACCUGGACAGCCUUCACUGGAAAAGCCUCGGAAUGUACGCUCCUAAGCAAGUUCUGUAUCUGUAGACAAAUAAAUAUGGAUGUUGAUGAUUAUGCUGCUCCGUCAGUUACUUGUCUUGAGCAAAAGCUACAAGUCUGAGCCUACACAAGAUGCAAACUAAGAAACUACGAAGUGCAAUGACAAUAUAUCUUCAGCUACCUACAGUAAAUACAAUGUAAUGAGACUGCAUUUGAUAAAAUGCUGGUCUGCUCAGUGUGACAAACUGUGCUUGCAUUUAGUAAUCACAGCAGCCCAUAUCAUGCUCCGAGUGACUGAGUGAGGGACAACUGCAACCUUGCUAUGCAGGUCUCUCCAUUAUCUGUCCUUGUCAUGCAUAUCAAUCUGUAAUGGCACCCACAUCAAAUAUUAAAAUUAUUAUUAUUAAAAUUAUUUAAUUUUCCAAAUUUUCUAAGUGGGCAGGUGUAUGGGAGCUAUUGAGUCAUGGCCUGAACCGCUGAUUGAUCACCUGGGGAAAGAACCUGUCAGCCAUGGGAGCGCAGGUGAAGGCAAUUCAUGUGUGCGACUGGAAGGAGUGGAGCCUGGCUGCAUCUCUCUUAGACCUCAUAGAAGGGCUGAUUGCCACUGGAGAAGGAUCUCUGGCUGGAGAUCCCUCUCUGGAGCUUUCCCCCGUGAACCUAGAUUUUUGGAGAUGGUAACCUACCACAGCAGUAUCCUGUCAACAGCAACAUUAGUGGAAGAAGCAAUCAGGAGUUUCCAUGGAGCUAGCUCUGGACCCUCCUUAGCUUCACUGCUUUCAAAGAGCUGGACUAGGAACAAGAUCACAACAGACAGCAAAUAGCUCUUUCCAGCUCCAAAAACACCUGUUAUUCCAGAUUGCAGUGAAAAAUGAACUGAGAGGAACACUGGGAUGGCCAAAUCACAGACUUAACACUCUUUUUAUCAGGAGAGAUGGGAGUGCAGAAGUCAACCAGGAAGUCAGUCAUGAAAUAGAAACUGAUCUAACCUUCGUCUUUGAAAUGGAAGUGAAACCAUUGAGGAGGGAGUCACACGAUCUCUAUUAUCUGUACCUCCAUCUUCAUGCAAGUCUGCAGAUAAGCUUGUUUCUGCAUUCUUCUUGUAAAUAGUAGAA